GCAUGUCAGGACAAGCUGGCGGUGGCAUCUGUUGCUGUAUUGAUUGUCAGGGCUUGUUCAGCCACUCUGGCCAGCUGACCGGUGUCUCUUUUCUCCUCACCUACAGGGUCGCUUUGAGCUGGAAUCGACUCGACUGCAAUGGGUUCGGUUUGUUUUUUAUCUACCUGAGGACUUCAUUCCAGCUGAAGACACAAUAGCUCCCCAGGAAAAGUUCUUCAAUGCUAGAACAUUAGUGAGAGUCUCCUGCUGCCAUAACUGCCGGCAUAACCAGAAAGAUGUCAGUUUUGAGGCAGUGGAAGGGGCUGGAACGGGACGACAAUACCAGAUAAUAACGGACGACUGCACUAAAGUGAGCAGUCUGCCUACGUUU
rnacentral:snRNA from 1 species